GUAAAAUUGAAGAUGACCGAAGGCAAGAAGAGCAAGAAAGGCAAAAGGAACGAAGAGAGCGUGAACAGCGGGAAAAGGAACAAAGGGAGCGUGAACAACAGGAAAAGGAACGAAGAGAGCGUGAACAACAGGAAAAAGCAAGAAGAGAAUGGGAACAACAACAAAGAGAAAGAAGAGAGCGGGAACAACAGGAAAAAGCAAGAAGAGCGUGGGAACAACAACAAAGAGAAAGAAGAGAGCGGGAACAACAGGAAAAGGCAAGAAGAGAAUGGGAACAACAACAAAGAGAAAGAAGAGAGCGGGAACAACAGGAAAAGGCAAGAAGAGAAUGGGAACAACAACAAAGAGAAAGAAGAGAGCGGGAACAACAGGAAAAGGCAAGAAGAGCGUGGGAACAAAAACAAAGAGAAAGAAGAGAGCGGGAACAACAGGAAAAGGAAUGGAGAGAGCGAGAACAACGAGAAAAGGAACAAAGAGAGCGAGAACAACAGGAAAAGGCAAGAAGAGCGUGGGAACAAAAACAAAGAGAAAGAAGAGAGCGGGAACAACAGGAAAAGGAAUGGAGAGAGCGAGAACAACGAGAAAAGGAACAAAGAGAGCGAGAACAACAGGAAAAAGCAAAAAGAGAAUGGGCACAACAGGAAAAGGCAAGAAGAGAGUUUGAGCAAUUGGAAAGAGAACAACAACAGCGUGAGGAAUUUAAACGUCUGAUGCGAGAACGUUUGGAACAGCUACGCAGAGAAAAAGAACAACUACAGUUGGAACUCAUAAAGAACAAAAUAAAAAAGGAGAAUGAAGAUUCCUGGAGGAAGCUGUCCCAAGCACAUGAAACAUUUGAACAGAACUUAAGUGCCCAACAACUUUAUCACAAUCCCAUACAAGAACUGCAGCAAGUCAUGAAGUGCGAUGCAAUUACAAUGGAAAAUGUUGAGGUUCAAGAUGUGGAGUGCAAAUUCAAAGCCAUUUUGGUAGAAAACCAGAUAACUGAAGAUGAGACAAUGCAGCAUUGCAAUCUUGAGGACAGGAUAAAGACUCUUCAUAAUGAAAUGGUUCUCCAGUUUUUUGGAUCACAUGACCUACCUUGUCAGCUGUUUACUUUAGACAAAGCAAUUGGCUAUGCCGACCUGUCCCUUACUGAAAGGGUAAUUGUUCUUGAAGCACUGGUCCAGCUCUCUGUUGAAGGUGACAUUGAAGAUCUCUUCUCAUGUGGACAGGACCAGAAGAAUGUCUUUCUCUUAAAUCUGAUUGAAAUGCUGUAUGCUACACAUCCCACUUUAGCCGCUAAUGUUCUACUGAGUGUUGUUGACUUUUUAGCAGAUGCAUCAAGCAAGGAAAUCCUGAAUCAAAUGUUGUUCAAUAACACCUGGACACCAUCUGAAAUCAUGCUCUUCAUUAAUAAGGCUGGUGCAAGUGCCCACAACCGCAAGAUCAGAGAAAUCCUGCAAAUGGUGCAGACAUACAGGCUAAGCUGCCUUGUUGCAAUUUCUGCUCUAGAUAAGCGGGAUCCCGUAAAAUACCUACAGUCUCUAGCUGAAUGUGCCCAGGACAAAGAUGCUAACACUCUUCUGGCUGAAAUGGGUCAAGCUGACUAUCCAGAGGAAACUCUGGAACUGCUGGACGAUGUCUUACACUAUAUUGAGGAGACUCUGCCUACCUGCGUUGAUACUGACUUUAGCCAGAAAAAAUUGCUGCAACUGAAAUGUAACAUUUGUUCACUUGACCUUUCUAAUCCUAACAUUGAUGUCCUCAAGGAGAUCCUAAUCUGGAUGUGCCUAGCCGUUCGAGAUUGCACAGCAUUUACUACAAAGACGAAAAAAAAAGUACAUGGCUACCUUCCAAGACUCACGCAGCUCGCAUCAUUAAGUUUGCUCCUGCUCCCGCAGUUGACUGGUGGGAAAGGUUGCCUCCUUGAAAUUGGUACAGGUGAGGGGAAGACCUGCAUCUUAGCAAUGUUUGCUGCCAUCCAGGCCAUCCGAGGCACAAAAGUGGACAUUGUGACAAGCUCCCCAGUUCUUGCCAUCCGGGAUCAAGAGCAGUGGCAAAAAUUAUAUGCCAUGUUUGGUCUGACCUCGUCGGUUGUGCCUCCCACAAUGAAAAAGGGGAGCUCUCCAGAGAAGGUGGUUGAAGAAGCAUACAGCAAAGACAUAGUUUAUGGGACGGUGUGUACUUUUGCAGCUGAUGCACUAAAACAGGAGUUUGAGAGAGAGACUACUCGGGGGAACAGGACAUUUGAUUUGGUUAUCGUAGAUGAAGUGGAUUACAUGACAUUAGACAAUGGCGUUCAGAUAACGUUCUUGUCUCACCAAUCUAGCUCUUUGAGGCAUGUUGAGCAAGUCCUUGCUGGCAUCUGGGCCAUAAUGUCUUCAUGUCGACCCAUUGAAAUGUUUCAUUCAGGGGAGGUCCACUGGACCACAAGGCCACAGCACUUUCAUCAGACUCUAAUGUCAAUGGUAGAAGUCUCAAAAUCUGCAGAGUUUUCAGCCUUUGACAUUCUGAAGUUAGGUGUGAAGCCUGGGAUAUGUUCUAAAGAAGAUCUUGAAAGACUAAAGCAAGCUGAAUGUGAUGAGCAAGAAGAACAUGCAAAUGAGGACUUUCAGAGUGCGCAGUGGAAGGUCAUUGAAGAAAUCAUGAGCAAAAUUGGACCAAAUGAACAAUUUAAACUAGUGACUGAACUUGAGAGAACAAAAUCAGUGAAAGUUGAAUGUUUUCUUGUUGAGGAAAACAAAGCCAAACCAUGCAAAAUGCAAACUGAGCAAAGUGUCACAGGUAAACUUCUCCUUCUGGAAAAUGGAUGUGCAUGUGAAAUCAUGACUGAAGAAGAUCUAAUUACAUCAGCCGUUAAUAAACUAAAGACCAAAAUUAAAAUCUCUUCAAAGCUGUCUCCAGAUUCCUUGGAGGCUGCUAAGAACUUCAUUGUGGUCCCAGCAUUCUUGCAAGAAUAUGUCGAAAAACAGCUGCCGGUUUUUGUUGAAAAUGCCCUCAGGGCUAUACUAAUGACUCAAGGAAGAGAGUAUAUGAUUGACACAACAGCUGAGGGAGAGGACCAGGACAAAGAUUGCCAUUAUUAUGAUGUCCUAAUUCCUGUGGAUUUCAAGUCGAGUGGAAUACUGGAGAAGAACAAGCGUUGGGGGGAUGGCCUUCAGCAGUUUUUGGAGAUGAAACACCAACUUGCCAUUUCUCAGUUGACUAAUGUUACUAACUAUAUGUCAAAUGUCCAUUUUUUUAAAAGGUACCUCAAAGCCAAAGGCAUAUUUGGUGUCUCUGGAACAUUGGGGGGCCAAGCUGACAAACGGUUUCUGGAACGGCACUACAAAACAAAAUGCUAUGAGGUGCCAACUCACCGUCAUAAAAAGGUCAUUGAACUGCCCACAGUUCAGGUGCAUGGAGGCCACACUCAUUGGACUGGUAAGAUUUGUGAAACUGCAUGGAAAGUAGCCGACAGGGGGCAAGUGGUCUUGAUAAUCUGUGAAGAUGUCAAAACUGCGAAUGAGCUGCAGAUCAAAAUGCAAGACAACAAGGAACAUUCCAACCCGAUUACCAUGUACACCAUUAGUGGCAAACAUGACAUUGAGAAUCAAACGUUCGGUCCAGGAAAUGUCAUCAUUGCCACUAAUCUUGGUGGACGUGGGACAGACAUCCAUGUUCACUCAGAUGCUAAUAAGAGUGGUGGGCUUUUUGUGAUUCUUACUUACUUCCCCAACAGUCGCCGUGUGGAGAAGCAGGUGUUUGGGAGAACAGGCCGAAAAGGUGACCCGGGCAUGGUGCAGAUGAUUAUCAACCAUGAACAACUCUGUCCAUCUUAUCAAGGCCAGCCAAUAGAAAUCAUGAGGGACCUCAGGGAGCAUCAUGAAGUCAGGUGCAUAGAGGACAUGGAGAGUGACGAGCUGCUUGUGAUUGCGGACAAAGAAAAUUUGUUUGUGGUGUUUUGCACAUUUCUCAGUGAGUUUGAGAAGAACUAUAAAGAGGAAGAGAGGCGUGACAAUAAAGGCCUGAAACUGCAGGAUAUCCCCAAGUGUUUUAGAGGUAAUUUCAAUAAAUUUGAUUACCGUCCUGCAAUCAACGCAUUGAAAGAGUCAUGGGCCAUGUGGCUUAUCCUUCACGAGGAGCAAAUCAGGGAGCACUCCAACGGUCAUGGUCUGGUGGAAGACCUCAGCAUGGAGUUGCAGAAGGCAAGCCAUAUGCUCCUUCAGGGCAAAAGCCAAAACCUCUAUGACCACAUUAAACAGGCAAUGGGCAGAACUGAUCUGCACUGUCGUAAGAAAACGGACCUGGACUAUGGGGCAAAAUCGUUUUGGCAAUCUGCUGCCAAGUGUGACCAUUUCUACAGCGCUGUUGCACUUUAUAACCAAGCAUUUGUCACAAUAAACCUGGGCAGAAAUGGAUACAUCUCUGAAGCCAUGCAGCUGCUCGAAAAGGCAAACAAGUUGGUGGAUGUGUUUCUUGCUGAAGCGACCAACACUCUGUUUUUCGGCAACAUGGCCGUGACGAGCGACUUCCAGCCCCACCACAAAUGCAGCAACUUUCAGCUGCAACUGCAGGCCAGGAUCAAUAUAUUUAAGUCCUGGAAGGAUUCCAUCAACAGCGCAAUCAAGAAACUUGACCAUAUCAAAAGUGCAGGGGACGAUGCUUUAACAGAGGACACUUCCGUAUACAGUCUCGCAAAAGUGACGGACCAUAUAACAACCAAUGAGCUCAUGUCACUCUAUGAAUACGGCCUUGGGAUCGUGUUUGACGUCAAAAAGAAGCCCAAGUUUUCCGUAGAUGCGCUUGUGUGCUUUUCUCUUGGUGUUCUACAGGUCUGCGCUGGAAUUCUUGUUUGCGCCGUUUCGUACGGUUCUGCGAGCCACAUCGGCCUCAACUUGAUUUGCGAGGGCGUGUCUGACAUGAUUAGUGGGGUAAGAGGCAUGAUACAGGGCGGCUUUGAUUGGGCAGAGUGGGCGAUUUCCAAAAGCAUCAGCAUCGGCUUGUUCCUUCUUAGUGGUGGCUUCGGCAUGCUCAAGAAAUCAGUCCAAGGUGUGAAAAAUAUCGCAGCAGGCACCAAAAGUCUGUCUUUCAUGGCUGUGAAGCAGGUCGCGAAGCAAGCAGGUAAAUACGCCAUACAGGAGGUUGGGAAGCAAACUGCACUCGCUGUAUUCAACUAUGCAGCUGACCGAGGACUGCAGGCUUUAUUUAAAAGAAUUCUACAAGAUCAGUUUAAACAGAAGGUCUUUUCCAUGGUCAAAAACAACAGAGAGCUGGACGUAGCCCUCACCCACUAUAUCUGCCAAGGGGUCCCAAAAUCUGCUUUGCAGGUGGAGGACAGUGACUUUAAGAUUGAUUGGCUGUGUGAAGACAAAAUGGAAAGAGCAGUGGAGGAUAUGACUAGGCAGGUUGUCCCUGACCUCAUGAUGGACUGCACCACAGUCAGAAAAGUUCUUGACCGACUGUCAGAGGUGUGCAGUAAAGCAUCAGGGUUCCUAGAGAAGCACAGAAUGUCUGGUGUGGGCAGAGCUGCUGGGCACAUUUUAAAUGCAUCUCAGUAUAUCGUGACCUUCAAGCAAAUCAUGGAUUCCAUUCCCACUGAGGAAGUGAUCAAAACGAAGUUCAUCCCGGGAUUUUUGAAGAACGUAAAUUAUUUGUUACAGGAGAGGUAUGAUGAGGAUGGAAGACACAAAUUACAGGAUGUGAAAAGGCUCAAAAUUAAACUCCUCAACUCGAUUGCUGAAAGUGUGAGUGAAUCGUUCGUUGAUGCCUGCUCAGCCCAUUUGGGUGACCUUGCAUCACGGGAGGUGUCUAAAAUAACCAGCAGAAGGAUUGGGACCUGUGUCUCUAACGUAAUGGGCAGAUACAAAACCCAGCGUUUUUUUGACGACCAGAGGCACAAUUACAAAAUGAAGAAGGCCAGCGGCAAAGCAGAGGAGCCUCAGUCCAGAGCCGAGCAAGCGGUGCUGAUGCAGUAUGCAGAGGGGCUUGGCGACUCGGGCAAACCAGCGACAGUCCUAGACCUUCAUGUGCUCACCAGAAGCAGCUUGCUUGAGGGCAAAGGGAUCCGAAUCAUUGUGACGGACAAAGACGGAAAGAUUCUCUCUGAAGAGCGCUACAGAGGAACAGAUGAAUCAGCUGGGGAGAUAACACUCCGACUGACCAAAGAGAGAGAGAUGCAAAAAAAAGAGGACGUCCUCACAGUUCUGUCAAAAAGAAUCCGAGGUGAAGAGAACCCCUACACUGGCCAUUUUGACAUUCUGCGACCUGACGGCAGAGUGGUCCGCGUGGAUUCGAAAGGCCAGAACUGUUUGUACCACGCCAUCGUGCAGGCAACAAGCAGAGGUCAGACUCAGGACCUCCACGAGGAAGCACGCAGGCUUCGCACUCAUGUCAAAAAUGAGGUUCAACAGAAGCUACCACAAUAUGCACCAAUGCUGAAACUCCAAAAAGGCUAUGAGGUCUUCUUUGCACAGCCUGGAAAGUACACCAUCACUGGGGGAGACAAGAAGAGCAGAGACCAGGCUCUGAAGGAAUACCUUGAAAACCUUAAUAGUAAUACCAAUUUACCAGAAGGGUCAACUAUUAAGACGUACCGACUCGGACUUGUUGCAAAUUACAACGACCUGAUAAGUGCUCGGAAAUGCAACAAAAAUGAAGUGAAUGCAGACCACAUACCAGCCAAAGACACCUAUAAGAGGGCUAGAAAGAUGAUUGAAGACAACCCUCACCUGGCCAAGCAACUGAAGAAGAAUCAUCCAGAGAUCCAUGCACUGCUGGAGAGGAGCAAAUCCGAUAACAAUGGAAGACACCUCCUGUGCAUGGAGGUCCUCACUGAGCAUCACAAGCAAGCCCUUACAACAUACAACAGCCAGGAGUCUCAGCAAAUAAGGGACCUGGUCGGUAAAAGUCUUGUUGAAGGGAAUGGCGAAAAAAUGAUUAAGUUGUCCUUCUUGGCGGCUCAUCCAGAGUCUUCGCAACAACUCAGAGCUGAUGCAGGAAAAAGACACUCGCCAAGAUCAGGUAUCCAGCUAAAUCCCAACGACUACUACAAAAUGGGGUUCCAACAAAUCACGCGGAAUUACUGCACCAUGGGCAUCAUCAACCAAAAUCAACGAGAUGGGAUUUUACAAUGGCUGAAUGAAGACCAGCACCUGAGGCGGGACACCGCCGAGUACCGGGAAUUACGCAAUGCCAUUGGACAAAAAGGAAGACCCGUUCAUGAAAUGCAAAAUGCUAAAAGGAUUUGAACUUAAGAUGUCAUGAGAUUAUUUUGUGUUAAAUUUAUAUGAUCAAAUACAGCAUAACUUUAUUUUACUAGUAAUUAAAAGACUUGGCAUGCUGAAAAAAUGUACACAUUAAAAAAAACACAUGUAAUGGAAUUUUGAAGGGUUCCUUAACAUUAUGAAGUGAAUUUAUAGUGCAAUAUUUUGUGCUUAAUUUAUUUUUGCCUAAAAACCUUAAGCAUGCCUUAAUUUUAUGGUAUAUUUUCAAUCACAUUGUAUGUUUGUGGGCCUUUGCAACGGGCACAGACCAUGACCCUCCACCCGAGCAUGACCCUCCACUUUAUAGGCCCUUUUGAUGAGAUCAUACGCUCACAUGCACACCUAGAGAACACCCCCUAGAUGUCGAAGGCCAACCAAGGUUGGGGAGGUAUGAGAAGAAAUGAGAUAAGGCCAGCAAGGCCCAGCCAAGGCCUAAUAAAUUAUGGGGAGGAGUGAUAUGCCCGACUAUC
ensembl:lncRNA